AACGCAAAUUGCACUUCUUGGUAUCCCGAGGAGUAUGCUUGCUUGAGGGUCGGUCUAUAAAAAAUCGUAAUUUUUUUUUUUUACGGAUCUGGGUUUUCCGAGUUUUCUCGACUUCGGUUGCCUAAAAUUUAUCUUGACAAUGAGGUAUCAAUUAGAAAUGUUCUAUCUUACAUGUUGUGAGUUUCAUUGAUAAUUAUACCAAUUGUUACGUCGCGUUAUUCAUCUAGUACCUUUGGUUAGGUGAAAUAAUUCAAUUUUUUUAAUCCUACCUCAAGUCAAGUAAGGAUACCCGCUGAACUUAA
rnacentral:misc_RNA from 1 species